CUCAUGAAAUAGGAAUUCCUCGUAAGCGUGAGUCACCAACUCAUGUUGAAUACGUCUCUGCCCUUUGUACACACCGCCCGUCGCUACUACCGAUUGAAUGUCUCUUCGAGAAAGCGGGAUUGAUUUUUACGCAAGUAAGAGUCGAGAGCUCUUUCUAGAAGAUGCUUUGAGAGGAAGUAAAAGUCGUAACAAGGUUUCUGUAGGUGAACCUGCAGAAGG
rnacentral:rRNA from 1 species